rnacentral:rRNA from 1 species
GAUUAACGCUAGCGGCAGGCCUAAUACAUGCAAGUUGUACGGGAUUAUUGGUAGCAAUACUGAUAUGAGAGUAGCGCACGGGUGCGUAACACGUAUGCAACCUACCUUUAACUGGGGAAUAGCUCACCGAAAGGUGAAUUAACACCGCAUAAAAUCACAGAAGGACAUCCUUUAAUGAUUAAAUCUCCGGAGGUUAAAGAUGGGCAUGCGUCCGAUUAGCUAG